UCAGUGGUAGCUCAGGUGGUAGAGAUGUUGGUCUACCGAUCAGAAGGUCAUGAGUUCAAAUCCAAGCACUGCC